GACGAACGCUGGCGGCGUGCUUAACACAUGCAAGUCGAACGGAAAGGCCCUGCUUUUGUGGGGUUCUCGAGUGGCGAACGGGUGAGUAACACGUGAGUAGCCUGCCCUUGACUUUGGGAUAACUUCAGGAAACUGGGGCUAAUACCGGAUAGGAGCUCCUGCUGCAUGGUGGGGGUUGGAAAGUUUCGGCGGUUGGGGAUGGACGAGCGGCUUAUCAGCUUGUUGGUGGGGUAGUGGCAUACCAAGGCUUUGACGGGUAGCCGGCCUGGGAGGGUGACCGGCGACAUUGGGACUGAGAUACGGCCCAGACUCCUACAGUGGGCAGAAGUGGGGAAUAUUGCACAAUGGGCGGAAGCCUGAUGCAGCAGCGCCGCGUGCGGGAUGACGGCCUUCGGGUUGUAAACCGCUUUCGCCUGUGACGAAGCGUGAGUGACGGUAAUGGGUAAAGAAGCACCGGCUAACUACGUG
rnacentral:rRNA from 1 species